rnacentral:lncRNA from 1 species
CUCAGCUACGAUCAUUGUGAUCUUAAGUGGAAAAGUGGUCAGUGAAAAAUGUGAAAAUGGACUGAUGCUACUCAUAUUUCUUCCCUGAGCUAUGCCUUGCUACCUUGCACCCUAUGAGAAAAAUCAGCUCUCCUUAACUGCCGGACGGACAGCUAUCAGUUUACCAGCAUACUGUAUAUAUAUUUAUAAAGGUGUUGCUGUCUUCUUUCAGGCCCAGCUUGACACUCUGCAGCUGAACUAUCUCCACAGUGCCACUAUGGCACCCACUCCAGUACCUCUGAAGCUCAGGGAUGACACAGAGUCGAGAGCGAAUCCACGGGACCGCCGGGUCUCUUCCGUUGAGGCUUCGAAGCAUCCGCAAACAGAAAACCACACGAUACCGACCAUCCCUGAGCUCUCUGAGACCUUUGAGAAGAAGCUGCGCUUUCGAAGCAGAAAUGUCAUGUCCUUGAGCGAUGCUGACAAUGUGUGUCUCAUCUGCCACAAUGAAAUGCGAAAUGAUGGUGGUGCGGUCCGAGAGCUACACUGUUCGCAUCGCUUCCACAGAGAGGUAGGGUUCAGUUUCCGGAUGCUGGCACCUCAAAGCUGCAUGCUACAGUUUUCUGACUAUGCUGGAGGCAAGAAAAAACAAAACACAUCACAAUACUGCAUUCCUAAAAAAGGUGUUGCAUUGCAUGAGCAACUUUUAUGAAACCCAUUGCAUGGUAAACUGCAUUAUAUGGUAAACCAUGUUUUAUUGCAUGGAUGUAUGUGUUAGCAUUUUGCAUGCAUGCAGUUUUUUGGUCAGAUUUAAAACUGUGAUAUCUGCUUGGUGUACAUGGAAGGCAAGGAGGUCAGUGCAAGAAUGCAGCUGUAGUGGAAGCGUGGUGGCAGAAUGUGUGUGGGGGGGACUAGGAGACGACCAGGUCUGUGUGGAGCAGGACGAGUACUGCCUUCGCCGACAUCGACGCUCCGUCCGGUGGCAGUGCUGAUGUCAGCCAUGUCGGUAUGAAAUACACAGAUAGACACAAGCCCCCCCAGCCUGUGCCCCCUUCCCAUAUCCAGACAUCCAAUGCUCAUACCACAUCACACAGAAAAAGAGCUUGAAUGUUUAAUCUCUGUAUGCUCCUAAUCAAUGUAGAUCUCACUUUUAGAGGGAUUUAUCUCUGGUGACUGAUGUAUCAUUUUAUUGAACUUAAAAAUAUAAAAAAUUUUACAAUGUUAUUUAUGUAGAAUUUUUUUUUUCUUUUAAACUCAAAAUAGGGUAGUGUGAAAAAUUUUUUCCAUUUUAGGUCUUUAUUGAUCAAGAACAAUACAUCUUUUCCAAUGGGGUAUCUUUGUUCUGAGUGUUUCUGAUUAAGGGCACUUGGAUUAAAAUGAAACAAGAAUAGAGUAUGUUAUGUUUUCCCAUUUAAUAGUCUUUCUCUAAAGAGGAGCACUUAGUAUCUCCUGUGUGAAAGUGGAUUGCCAACAAGAUGUUAUUUCAACCUGUUGAUUGCUGCUCUGCAGAUCAGGAAUUGAGCUUGGGAUGAUUUUCUGUCAGUAUUUAUAUAGUUUGAAAGCAUGGAUUUCCUAAAAUAAUGGCAGCUAGUUCUAUAACUGACCAGCAUUUCCUAAAUUGACACAGGCCAUAAUCCUGGACUGUGGAGCAGAAAGGUGAAUUCCUGUCCCUUAGAAAGACUUUCAUGAAUCCACAUUGUGGAAUUAUCCUUUUGGGUGCCAACGAAGGUCAUAUUUAGAAUCAUAACAAAAAUAGCCAACACAUAUAGGUGGAGGUGUUUUGUUCACUGUCAUUGAAUUAGGAACCUUUUCACUUUUAUUGUGUCUACACUGUUGGUUUUUUUGCUCAUUGGAUUGGAUGCAUGUACUGCACAGUAACUGCCAUGGUGACACAGCUGGAAGAAGCUCCUCUCUUUGUUUCAGUGCAUUGAGCGAUGGCUGUGGAAGGAACAGUUAUGUCCCACCUGCAGCGUCCACGUAGCCAUGCCCGAGCCCCUGUACUGGUCCUCCACGCACCUCAAAGUACCCUGAUCAGAGGGUACCCUCAGCUUUCAGACUAGGACCUGAUUUCCUUCCACCUACCACGGCUGGACACCCACCAGAGACCCAUACUGGCAGUCAAAGGCUUCUUCCUUCUUUACACCAGAGCUUCGGAACACCUCUCCAGGCUCAUAAUAUGUGACGACGUCCUAAGUCCUCUGUGCACAUUAGAUUACAGCAUCUGAACAAAACUUCAGAACCAUGACCCGCAUGCAUAUUAUGUAAGGAGAUCAUGCCAAAUGCAAAUCCAAGUAACAGCACAAUUUUUACAACUUUCUUUAUUCAGCCAAUAUAGUGAGAUCUCACAACAGCAGGUAGUGAAAGCUCAUUUUUACCAGGUUUUAACAACUCUUUCCUAUUAUCCAUUUUGACUUUUAUACAACACACUUUUAAUGCCAAACUACAGGGAAAACUAAGAUAAAGGAUAUUUUUUUUAGCAAUGGUUCUGUAACCUGUGGUUAUUACAAGGUGUUUACUAAUGAUAUUUGAAAAUUAUACCUAAAAGGUAUAUCUGUACUGUAUCAAAUGUGGAUAAAUAGCAUUUUUACCUUUCAUUAAUUUAACUGAACACUGCAGUAUACAGCCUAUGCUUAUCUGACAGCACACUGUCUGUCAUACUCAAAUACAGUACUGGUGCUGUAAAAUUAGGACAACCAAUGCCAAUGUAGAGAUGCCUUUUGAUGACUUUAUAUAAACUUGGCAACUAAUUUCUUGUGAUCUAUAGUAAGAUCUGUAGUAUCUAUGUGAUGGUUUCCAUUACUGUUUCAAUGUCAUUUUCAUAAUUUUUAUUUGAAUAAAACUUGCAUCGUAACUAUUUUCCUUGUAACA